UACGGGGGGAGCAAGCGUUGUUCGGAUUUACUGGGCGUAAAGGGCGCGUAGGCGGUCGUGACAAGUCACUUGUGAAAUCUCCGGGCUUAACUCGGAACGGUCAAGUGAUACUGUCGGACUAGAGUACAGAAGGGGCAACUGGAAUUCUCGGUGUAGCGGUGAAAUGCGCAGAUAUCAGGAGGAACACCGAUUGCGAAGGCAGCUCGCUGGAACGUUACUGACGCUGAGACGCGAAAGCGUGGGGAGCAAACAGG
rnacentral:rRNA from 1 species